rnacentral:rRNA from 1 species
AGAGUUUGAUCAUGGCUCAGGAUGAACGCUAGCGGCAGGCCUAACACAUGCAAGUCGAGGGGUAACGAUGUCUUCGGACAGUCGACGCCGGCGCACGGGUGAGUAUCGCGUUUGUAGCCUACCUUUAACUGGAGCAUAGCCCGAAGAAAUCGGAUUAAUACUCCAUAAUACUAUGAACUGGCAUCUUUUUAUAGUUAAAGCUCCGGCGGUUAAAGAUGGGCAUGCGUGACAUUAGUUUGUUGUGAGGUAAGAGCUCACCAAGACUACGAUGUCUAGGGGGUCUGAGAGGAUGGUCCCCCACACUGGUACUGAGACACGGACCAGACUCCUACGGGAGGCAGCAGUGAGGAAUAUUGGUCAAUGGGCGAAAGCCUGAACCAGCCAUGCCGCGUGAAGGAUGACAGCGCUACGCGUUGUAAACUUCUUUUGUACAGGAAGAAACACUUCUACGUGUAGAAGCUUGACGGUACUGUACGAAUAAGCAUCGGCUACUCCGUGCCAGCAGCCGCGGUAAUACGGAGGAUGCAAGCGUUAUCCGGAUUUAUUGGGUUUAAAGGGUACGUAGGCGGAAAAUUAAGUCAGUGAUGAAAUCCUGCAGCUCAACUGUGGAACUGUCAUUGAUACUGGUUUUCUUGAAUUUAGUUGAGGUAGGCGGAAUGUGUAAUAGCGGUGAAAUGCUUAGAUAUUACACAGAACACCGAUUGCGAAGGCAGCUUACUAAGCUAUGAUUGACGCUGAGGUACGAAAGCGUGGGGAGCGAGCAGGAUUAGAUACCCUAGUAGUCC